AUGAACGCUAGCUACAGGCUUAACACAUGCAAGUCGAGGGGCAGCAUGGUCUUAGCUUGCUAAGGCCGAUGGCGACCGGCGCACGGGUGAGUAACACGUAUCCAACCUGCCGUCUACUCUUGGACAGCCUUCUGAAAGGAAGAUUAAUACAAGAUGGCAUCAUGAGUCCGCAUGUUCACAUGAUUAAAGGUAUUCCGGUAGACGAUGGGGAUGCGUUCCAUUAGAUAGUAGGCGGGGUAACGGCCCACCUAGUCUUCGAUGGAUAGGGGUUCUGAGAGGAAGGUCCCCCACAUUGGAACUGAGACACGGUCCAAACUCCUACGGGAGGCAGCAGUGAGGAAUAUUGGUCAAUGGGCGAGAGCCUGAACCAGCCAAGUAGCGUGAAGGAUGACUGCCCUAUGGGUUGUAAACUUCUUUUAUAAAGGAAUAAAGUCGGGUAUGGAUACCCGUUUGCAUGUACUUUAUGAAUAGGGAUCGGCUAACUCCGUGCCAGCAGCCGCGGUAAUACGGAGGAUCCGAGCGUUAUCCGGAUUUAUUGGGUUUAAAGGGAGCGUAGAUGGAUGUUUAAGUCAGUUGUGAAAGUUUGCGGCUCAACCGUAAAAUUGCAGUUGAUACUGGAUAUCUUGAGUGCAGUUGAGGCAGGCGGAAUUCGUGGUGUAGCGGUGAAAUGCUUAGAUAUCACGAAGAACUCCGAUUGCGAAGGCAGCCUGCUAAGCUGCAACUGACAUUGAGGCUCGAAAGUGUGGGUAUCAAACAGGAUUAGAUACCCUGGUAGUCCACGCCGUAAACGAUGAAUACUAGGUGUCGGGGAGCAAAGCUCUUCGGUGCCGUCGCAAACGCAGUAAGUAUUCCACCUGGGGAGUACGUUCGCAAGAAUGAAACUCAAAGGAAUUGACGGGGGCCCGCACAAGCGGAGGAACAUGUGGUUUAAUUCGAUGAUACGCGAGGAACCUUACCCGGGCUUAAAUUGCAGAUGAAUUACGGUGAAAGCCGUAAGCCGCAAGGCAUCUGUGAAGGUGCUGCAUGGUUGUCGUCAGCUCGUGCCGUGAGGUGUCGGCUUAAGUGCCAUAACGAGCGCAACCCUUGUUGUCAGUUACUAACAGGUUCCGCUGAGGACUCUGACAAGACUGCCAUCGUAAGAUGUGAGGAAGGUGGGGAUGACGUCAAAUCAGCACGGCCCUUACGUCCGGGGCUACACACGUGUUACAAUGGGGGGUACAGAGGGCCGCUACCACGCGAGUGGAUGCCAAUCCCCAAAACCUCUCUCAGUUCGGACUGGAGUCUGCAACCCGACUCCACGAAGCUGGAUUCGCUAGUAAUCGCGCAUCAGCCACGGCGCGGUGAAUACGUUCCCGGGCCUUGUACACACCGCCCGUCAAGCCAUGGGAGCCGGGGGUACCUGAAGUGCGUAACCGCGAGGAGCGCCCUAGGGUAAAACUGGUGACUGGGGCU
rnacentral:rRNA from 1 species